AGGGAUGUUCUCUGUUUAGUGAGUCCACCAGAUCAGAGGCAGUAGGGGUGACCAGGGAUGUUCUCUGUUUAGUGAGUCCACCAGAUCAGAGGCAGUAGGGGUGACCAGGGAUGUUCUCUGUUUAGUGAGUCCACCAGAUCAGAGGCAGUAGGGAUAACCAGGGAUGUUCUCUGUUUAGUGAGUCCACCAGAUCAGAGGCAGUAGGGGUGACCAGGGAUGUUCUCUGUUUAGUCAGUCUACCAGAUCAGAGGCAGUAGGGAUAACCAGGGAUGUUCUCUGUUUAGUGAGUCCACCAGAUCAGAGGCAGUAGGGAUGACCAGGGAUGUUCUCUGUUUAGUGAGUCCACCAGAUCAGAGGCAGUAGGGAUGACCAGGGAUGUUCUCUGUUUAGUGAGUCCACCAGAUCAGAGGCAGUAGGGAUGACCAGGGAUGUUCUCUGUUUAGUGAGUCCACCAGAUCAGAGGCGGUAGGGGUGACCAGGGAUGUUCUCUGUUUAGUGAGUCCACCAGGUCAGAGACAGUAGGGAUAACCAGGGAUGUUCUCUGUUUAGUGAGUCCACCAGAUCAGAGGCGGUAGGGGUGACCAGGGAUGUUCUCUGUGUAGUGAGUCCACCAGAUCAGAGGCAGUAGGGGUGACCAGGGAUGUUCUCUUGAUAAGUGUGCGAAUUUGACC
ensembl:lncRNA